GAUGAACGCUGGCGGUAUGCCUAACACAUGCAAGUCGUACGAGAGUUUUUAACUCUAGUGGCGGACGGGUGAGUAACACGUGAGAAUUUGCCUUUAGGAGGGGGACAACAAUCGGAAACGAAUGCUAAUACCCCAUAUGCUUUCGAGUGAAAUGGAUUUUAUCCGCCUAGAGAGAAGCUCGCGGCUGAUUAGCUUGUUGGUAAGGUAAGAGCUUACCAAGGCGACGAUCAGUAUCUGGUUUGAGAGGACGAUCAGACACACUGGAACUGAGACACGGUCCAGACUCCUACGGGAGGCAGCAGUGGGGAAUAUUGGGCAAUGGAGGAAACUCUGACCCAGCGACGCCGCGUGCGGGAUGAAGGCCUUCGGGUUGUAAACCGCUUUCAGCAGGGAAGAAGCGAAAGUGACGGUACCUGCAGAAGAAGCACCGGCUAACUAUGUG
rnacentral:rRNA from 1 species